rnacentral:rRNA from 1 species
CCUACGGGAGGCAGCAGUGAGGAAUAUUGGUCAAUGGACGCAAGUCUGAACCAGCCAUGCCGCGUGCAGGAAGACGGCUCUAUGAGUUGUAAACUGCUUUUGUACGAGGGUAAACGCAGAUACGCGUAUCUGUCUGAAAGUAUCGUACGAAUAAGGAUCGGCUAACUCCGUGCCAGCAGCCGCGGUAAUACGGAGGAUUCAAGCGUUAUCCGGAUUUAUUGGGUUUAAAGGGUGCGUAGGCGGUCGGAUAAGUUAGAGGUGAAAUCCCGAGGCUCAACUUCGGAAUUGCCUCUGAUACUGUUAGGCUAGAGAGUAGUAGCGGUAGGCGGAAUGUAUGGUGUAGCGGUGAAAUGCUUAGAGAUCAUACAGAACACCGAUUGCGAAGGCAGCUUACCAAGCUACUUCUGACGUUGAGGCACGAAAGCGUGGGGAGCAAACAGGAUUAGAUACCCCAGUAGUC